UACGUAGGGUGCGAGCGUUGUCCGGAAUUAUUGGGCGUAAAGGGCUCGUAGGCGGUUUGUCACGUCGGAGUGAAAACUCAGGGCUCAACCCUGAGCCUGCUUCCGAUACGGGCAGACUAGAGGUAUGCAGGGGAGAACGGAAUUCCUGGUGUAGCGGUGAAAUGCGCAGAUAUCAGGAAGAACACCUAUGGCGAAGGCAGCUCUCUGGGACGGUACUGACGCUGAGACGCGAAAGCGUGGGGAGCGAAUGGG
rnacentral:rRNA from 1 species